GGGUUGUGAGGUUAAGCGACUAAGCGUACACGGUGGAUGCCCUGGCAGUCAGAGGCGAUGAAGGACGUGCUAAUCUGCGAUAAGCGUCGGUAAGGUGAUAUGAACCGUUAUAACCGGCGAUUUCCGAAUGGGGAAACCCAGUGUGAUUCGUCACACUAUCAUUAACUGAAUCCAUAGGUUAAUGAGGCGAACCGGGGGAACUGAAACAUCUAAGUACCCCGAGGAAAAGAAAUCAACCGAGAUUCCCCCAGUAGCGGCGAGCGAACGGGGAGGAGCCCAGAGCCUGAAUCAGUGUGUGUGUUAGUGGAAGCGUCUGGAAAGGCGCGCGAUACAGGGUGACAGCCCCGUACACAAAAAUGCACAUACUGUGAGCUCGAUGAGUAGGGCGGGACACGUGGUAUCCUGUCUGAAUAUGGGGGGACCAUCCUCCAAGGCUAAAUACUCCUGACUGACCGAUAGUGAACCAGUACCGUGAGGGAAAGGCGAAAAGAACCCCGGCGAGGGGAGUGAAAAAGAACCUGAAACCGUGUACGUACAAGCAGUGGGAGCCUCUUUAUGGGGUGACUGCGUACCUUUUGUAUAAUGGGUCAGCGACUUAUAUUCUGUAGCAAGGUUAACCGAAUAGGGGAGCCGAAGGGAAACCGAGUCUUAACUGGGCGUUAAGUUGCAGGGUAUAGACCCGAAACCCGGUGAUCUAGCCAUGGGCAGGUUGAAGGUUGGGUAACACUAACUGGAGGACCGAACCGACUAAUGUUGAAAAAUUAGCGGAUGACUUGUGGCUGGGGGUGAAAGGCCAAUCAAACCGGGAGAUAGCUGGUUCUCCCCGAAAGCUAUUUAGGUAGCGCCUCGUGAAUUCAUCUCCGGGGGUAGAGCACUGUUUCGGCAAGGGGGUCAUCCCGACUUACCAACCCGAUGCAAACUGCGAAUACCGGAGAAUGUUAUCACGGGAGACACACGGCGGGUGCUAACGUCCGUCGUGAAGAGGGAAACAACCCAGACCGCCAGCUAAGGUCCCAAAGUCAUGGUUAAGUGGGAAACGAUGUGGGAAGGCCCAGACAGCCAGGAUGUUGGCUUAGAAGCAGCCAUCAUUUAAAGAAAGCGUAAUAGCUCACUGGUCGAGUCGGCCUGCGCGGAAGAUGUAACGGGGCUAAACCAUGCACCGAAGCUGCGGCAGCGACACUAAGUGUUGUUGGGUAGGGGAGCGUUCUGUAAGCCUGUGAAGGUGUGCUGUGAGGCAUGCUGGAGGUAUCAGAAGUGCGAAUGCUGACAUAAGUAACGAUAAAGCGGGUGAAAAGCCCGCUCGCCGGAAGACCAAGGGUUCCUGUCCAACGUUAAUCGGGGCAGGGUGAGUCGACCCCUAAGGCGAGGCCGAAAGGCGUAGUCGAUGGGAAACAGGUUAAUAUUCCUGUACUUGGUGUUACUGCGAAGGGGGGACGGAGAAGGCUAUGUUGGCCGGGCGACGGUUGUCCCGGUUUAAGCGUGUAGGCUGGUUUUCCAGGCAAAUCCGGAAAAUCAAGGCUGAGGCGUGAUGACGAGGCACUACGGUGCUGAAGCAACAAAUGCCCUGCUUCCAGGAAAAGCCUCUAAGCAUCAGGUAACAACAAAUCGUACCCCAAACCGACACAGGUGGUCAGGUAGAGAAUACCAAGGCGCUUGAGAGAACUCGGGUGAAGGAACUAGGCAAAAUGGUGCCGUAACUUCGGGAGAAGGCACGCUGAUAUGUAGGUGAAGCGACUUGCUCGUGGAGCUGAAAUCAGUCGAAGAUACCAGCUGGCUGCAACUGUUUAUUAAAAACACAGCACUGUGCAAACACGAAAGUGGACGUAUACGGUGUGACGCCUGCCCGGUGCCGGAAGGUUAAUUGAUGGGGUUAGCGGUAACGCGAAGCUCUUGAUCGAAGCCCCGGUAAACGGCGGCCGUAACUAUAACGGUCCUAAGGUAGCGAAAUUCCUUGUCGGGUAAGUUCCGACCUGCACGAAUGGCGUAAUGAUGGCCAGGCUGUCUCCACCCGAGACUCAGUGAAAUUGAACUCGCUGUGAAGAUGCAGUGUACCCGCGGCAAGACGGAAAGACCCCGUGAACCUUUACUAUAGCUUGACACUGAACAUUGAGCCUUGAUGUGUAGGAUAGGUGGGAGGCUUUGAAGUGUGGACGCCAGUCUGCAUGGAGCCGACCUUGAAAUACCACCCUUUAAUGUUUGAUGUUCUAACGUUGGCCCGUAAUCCGGGUUGCGGACAGUGUCUGGUGGGUAGUUUGACUGGGGCGGUCUCCUCCUAAAGAGUAACGGAGGAGCACGAAGGUUGGCUAAUCCUGGUCGGACAUCAGGAGGUUAGUGCAAUGGCAUAAGCCAGCUUGACUGCGAGCGUGACGGCGCGAGCAGGUGCGAAAGCAGGUCAUAGUGAUCCGGUGGUUCUGAAUGGAAGGGCCAUCGCUCAACGGAUAAAAGGUACUCCGGGGAUAACAGGCUGAUACCGCCCAAGAGUUCAUAUCGACGGCGGUGUUUGGCACCUCGAUGUCGGCUCAUCACAUCCUGGGGCUGAAGUAGGUCCCAAGGGUAUGGCUGUUCGCCAUUUAAAGUGGUACGCGAGCUGGGUUUAGAACGUCGUGAGACAGUUCGGUCCCUAUCUGCCGUGGGCGCUGGAGAACUGAGGGGGGCUGCUCCUAGUACGAGAGGACCGGAGUGGACGCAUCACUGGUGUUCGGGUUGUCAUGCCAAUGGCACUGCCCGGUAGCUAAAUGCGGAAGAGAUAAGUGCUGAAAGCAUCUAAGCACGAAACUUGCCCCGAGAUGAGUUCUCCCUGACCCUUUAAGGGUCCUGAAGGAACGUUGAAGACGACGACGUUGAUAGGCCGGGUGUGUAAGCGCAGCGAUGCGUUGAGCUAACCGGUACUAAUGAACCGUGAGGCUUAACCUUACAACGCCGAAG
rnacentral:rRNA from 1 species